rnacentral:lncRNA from 1 species
UUUCUCUAUUGCACAGAGUCGACCUUUUUCAUAUAGUUUUCACAAGUUUUUUAGUGUCAAGCUCAUUCUUUUUAUUGUACUCGCUUGUAACUCUCAACGCAUCUGAUUUGUUCAAUAUUUAAAUACUCGUGCACUACAUGUAGCCCUCAUUUGAACCCCAUUUUAAGGGGAGUAAAAUGUAUUUUGAAAUAGUAUUUUAUUAGAGAAUGUAUGGCUAAAAAGUAAGGAAAAAGUUUUGAAUUUAUGUGUAAAAUUAUUUUAUGGAAGAAUGUGUGGUUAGAAAUGAGUAUUGAAAAAUAAGUUUUUUGAAAAAAUGAGACCGGACAUAGGUGGAAUUUUGUAAUAGUUAUGACCAUUCCUUAAUCGGUCGAUAGUUUUUGAAUUUUGGAACUUUAGCAUUUAGAUGUCUUCUGUAAAGUUUUAAACUUUGCUGGCUUCCGUUCUUUGUGUUAAUGAAUUGGGUGUUGCUUGUUCUUCUUUCGAAGUUUGCAUUAUUCUAUUUUUUCAACGUAUGAAUUAUGAAAUAGGUGGAGUUAAUUAUGCAAGUAUAAUUUAAUCAGGUGAAAAGUCAAUAGUAAAAUAGUUUGACAACAGGUAG